CGUAACUCUGCCGGCGCGUACGCGCAGUCCGCGCCGGCCUGGCGCUUGGGCCUGUCUGCGGUGGGCUCAUCCUUGAUCUGUGCGGAUGGCACAUUCGCGCCUCCACGGGACGAGGGGUCACCGGGGAUCGGCGAGGGCCCGGUAGGGCCGGAGACCGAGGAGAAUCUGACCCGUGCCCACAAUGCUGGCAGGAGCCGCUCCGGGCCUUCAAAGCCGUUCCGGAGGCGAGGGCGCCCGUGUGUGGCGUGCGCAUGCGCGAAUGCCAACUGGACCCACUGAGGCACAGUGGCCAGAGUGGGGACCACAGCCUGAGUGACAUGGACAGGACCUGAUGCUCCCGAGACCACAAAUCUGGUAGAGAUGUGAAACCGAGG
rnacentral:lncRNA from 1 species